UACCACAAAAUCUUUGUUAGCCCACAAGAUAAUAUCCACAUCUCAGUGCCCUUAAUAUUCGGUAAUUAGCAUCAAAAGAAAAACUCCAUUUGCAGAAAGAACAGGAGCAAUUAUAAAUUUUGCAGCAGAAAGACACAAGACAUAAAUGGGAAUGUGUACUAAUCAUGUUGUUUACUUUUAACGAUGCAAAUCAGAAAAACCUAAAGAAAGUUUCCCACUAUUAUGCCAACUAAGGCCAUUCUAAGUUCUAACAUUUCAUUGGAGAAGCUAGAUAAGAUAUUGUUUUAAUAGUGAUUGAUAGAUUUAUCUCAAAUUCGCAAAGUAGCAAACUGAAGAAAAAAUAUAAAGUGGAUAAGUGAAAGACAGAGAAAGACAUUGAGAAGUCGACGCAACCUUUACAAAUAGGAAAAAUCCAUGAUACUUCCCUGAAAUAAAAAGAUGCAUACGGAACUAAUAUGGUUUUCUGUUUGAAAUUAUCCCCUGGUUAGUUAUGGACUUACUUCACCAGAUUGUAUUUUAGUUCCCCCGAGUUUUUCCUUCGAGGAAAAUAAGAGUAGUUUUCCCGAACUAAGGAACCACUAAAUGUGAAUAUACAAGCGAGAAAAUACUUACCAGUAUUUACCAGCUAGGUUAAAGUGCACGUUAACCAUUGACACACACACACACACAGAUCUCACACAUGGUCAAACUCUCUUACAUGCAAAAAUCAAACAGAUUACAAGGGAUGCUCAUCUAAAGAUACAAGAAUAGAUUCCAUAAGUGAUGCUCAUCCAAAUUUACAAGAACAGGAACAACUGUAAAAAAUUACAUGAAAAUUCUCAUUAAUGUCUAUGUACACAGUGGUAUGCACACAAAUUUGAAAAGGGUUUCGCCCUGUAGGAAAUAGAAGUAAAUGAGUACAAACACAUACACAUUUAAUACACCAAUAUAUCAAUACUCACACAAACACAUGGAACCACAAACAAGGCAGAAAAUUAAAAAAUUCGUAAUAUAUUUGACAGCAUAACGCGGAUGCAAAUAUAUGAGCAUUUAAGUGUCUAUGGGUUUGUGCAUUAAGCAGUGUUAUUUGAACUGUACCAUACCAAACCAGUCGGUUCAGCUGGAAAAAUCAAGAACUAGUACCAUUAUAGGCCAAAAGUCAGAUAUUAAAAACCAUCCAGUUCUCAGCUGAAAAGGUGGGGGUAGAGGUUCAAUCUAGAUUCGACCCCUUGACACCUUUUACCUUUUUAGGAUCAAUGAUUGGGCUGUUUUAAUAUUUAGAAUUCACUCGUGCUAGCUAGAUUUGCAUGAUUCAUCUCUAUUCUUACAUGCAUGCAAUGGCUGAGAAUGCAGCAGUCCAGUGCACCCUGCCUGAUACAUGGGCUUUGGAGGGCAUUUUACUGCAACUUCCUUUUAAAAAAGUAACUUUAAUAAUUAUUGCUUCAAAAAAGAAAUAAACGAUAUCAGAUCAAGAUCAUUCUGCAUACUCCGUUUAACCUUGACAAGUUUACAAAUUUCGUUAAUUUAUUUCACGGGCGAAUAUCCCUAAAUCUGUUAAUGCAGAACGACACCAGUAUUACUUUAGAUGUAGGCAAGGCAAUUUAAUGUACUUCUUAGGUACAAACUAUGUUAAUUCUAUUCUAAGAUUUUCUUUUUCCAAGAUUGAGUUCCAUUCUUUUAGAUUGGAACCCCCCUGCAAAAGGGAGCCUCUCUCUCAUUGAAUAUGGAAUCCACAUAAUAUUUACAAUUAACCAACGAAAUUGAGUUUAAAAUGAACCUAUUUUUUUAUGCCUUGAGUGACUACACCUCAGCCCUAGUUUAUCAGAAAUUGGCAUUUGAGUAAGCUAACUGGCUUCUUUUUGCUUCAAUGCACACUAAGCUGAACAAGAGAAAAAAUUGGCAAAGAAAAGUUCACGUGAUCCAAGUCAAAAUAUGCAUUAAUGUAAAAUGCGGUAAAAAUAGCAACUCUUCCCAUCAAACAACAUUAUGAUUAAUUAUCAAUAGCUGAAUUUCUUUCUUGAUCAUCUCAUUUCGCUCUCGCUCUUCCCAUAUAAGGACGUCAAAUUCCACAUGUACAUGAUCUAUACAAACCAAAA